CACCCAAGCGGCUUCAGAGCAUGCUCAUGACACUUCAAAACUACAGUCUCAAAGUUGUCUACAAGCCAGGGCCUAAAAUGUUCAUCUGUGACAUGUUGAGCAGGGCAGCUGUUGACUGUACAGGUACGGGAGCCAUUUACCAGAGGCAUGCCAUAUGUCAUCUGCAGAAAGAGCAGGAAAAGGUACAAUUUAUCAACCGAGCAGAAUACCUGAAUGUGACGGACCAGCGGUUGGGAACAAUGAGGGAGCAUACUGAAAGGGAUGAAGCAUUACAGGCCCUUAAAACCACUGUCCUGGCAGGCUGGCCUGAUGAGAAAGAAAGGACAACACACAUCAUCCGAGAAUACUGGCCUUAUAGAGAUGAGAUAAGUGCGCAAGAUGGUAUUUUGUAUCGUGGUCAGAAAGUCAUUAUCCCCAAAUCACUACGUCCAGAGAUGCUCAAACGCAUACAUCCAAGCCAUAUAGGAGGUGACGCAUGUUAUCGCCAGGCUCGUGACACACUGUAUUGGCCCAGUAUGCAAGCAGAAAUCAAAGACUUUGUGAGUAACUGUUCGACUUGCAAUGAAUUUGCGCACAACCAACAGAAGGAAACCAUGCUAUCUCAUGACAUCCCCAGCAGGCCAUGGCAGAUUGUCAGCAUGGACUUAUUCAGUCACCGGCAAAAGGACUAUCUUAUAAUUGUGGACCAUUUCUCAGACUUUUGGGAGAUUGAACUGCUUCCUGAUCUAUCUGCAGAGACAGUCAUCAAGCGCUGCAAGGCUCAGUUUGCUCGACAUGGCCAGCCAGAGUUAUCACAGAUAAUGGCCCUCAGUUCGGUGCUCCGUUUAAGCGCUUCGCCUCCAGCUGGGAAUUUGAGCAUGUCACUUCUUCACCAAGACAUCCUAAAUCAAAUGGAAAGGCUGAGUCAGCCAUCAAGAUUGCAAAAAACCUUCUGCGCAAAGCCAUGCAUGACAGAACUGACCCUUGGAAAGCAAUACUUUAUUGGAGAAACACCCCAACUGAAAAUAUGGACAGUAGCCCU
ensembl:lncRNA